AAUAAUAUUUGGCCAGAUUAAUAUAUUACACCGUCCCACCGCCCACUGCCUUUGAAAUAUUCUUGGUCCAAAUACAUCCGCGUAAUCGACCCUAUAAAUAGACUUCAACAGAGAGCCAAAUGUUCCAUGCUGGUUUGUAUUGUUGAUUUUUCUGUUUUUUAUGAUAUGAUGAUUUGGUGCUCUUCCUUUGAAUUUUGCAUUGAUUGAUCAAGUUUUAUAUAAUUCUGAGGUCUUGCGAUCAUCUCUGUAGACAGAGGAGGAGGAACGUUACGGGUUCGCUAUUAGUUCUGUUUUUCUUUUGCUAAUUUAUUGAUUCGUUCUUGGUGUUUAUUUGAUCAGGAUUGGGCAAUAAUGAUAGGAGAAUGAUUAUGGGUACCUUUGCAGUGCAUUUAUUUUCUGAUUGAUUAAUGGAUAACCAUUCUAGAUGCAGUUUCGGGAGAAUCGAGUUUUGCUUCCAGGUUUUGAGAAAUCCUGACGUUUUUGUUUUGAGAAAUCCCAUGUUUUUGUUACCCUAUUUACUAUGAAGCCCAACGAUUUACAGAAGUGGAAAUUUGGAUCUUGAGAUGAAUGAGUCCCAUCUUCUUUUCUUGGACUUAUCAGUUUGGAUAUGAUAUCUUUAAUGCUAAUUUUGAUGUUGAUCAUGGUUCUCCUCGCUCAACUUAUUUUGCGCGUCGUUAAUAGCUAUCAAGAAUACAUGGGGCAUCUAGGUGCAUGUGGUUGUACAGGAAUUAGUGUCUUGAUUUGAUGUUCAUCUCGGGGAAGAUAAAGCAGUUCCCAGGUUUUUACUAUUGGUACUUGAUUUUUGAGUCUCUCAAAAUUUUGUCAAAACUGCUUAUGGAAGUUCUCAACUAUGAUGAUUCUAUUCAUUUGUGUGUAUACGACGUUCUGCUCCACUUAUAUAGUUCAGAUGCUCAUGUUCUUUGACGAUCCCCUUAUCUCUAGUGGUUUUAAUUGUGCUGUGAAGUGCUCCUCUGCCUUUUGUGUCCUAGCUACUUAUAUUCUCUUUGCUUCCAUUUUCCGUUGGUUAUCAGGCCUGCUUGAUUUUGUUUGUUGGUGAAUGUGUGUAGACCACAUGCUGACAUUAAUAGAGGAUUAUUUUUGGAGACUUCAGAGGAUUAUUUUUGGAGACUUCAAAGUCUUGUAUAAAGUAUGCAUUCAUGCGCGCCUGUUUCUUCGUCUAUUUAGUGUUUGCACUCCAAGAUGGAUAUUGCAAGGGUUGGACUAAUGGGGUUUUUCGAUUGGGUCUUGCAUCUCUAGUGGUUUCUCAUGUGAUGAGGGUUUUGUCAGCUUUGCACUGGACUGUUUCCUUCUUUCUGUGCUUGCAGUUGGGUUUAACCAAGUAUUGGAUUGUUCUUUUCAUGGAGGUUUUUGUAUGGAAAUCCGUGUUGAGGUUUUUCUAUUUCUGGUUUUGUGUAUCGAGAUUUUCAUUUUAGUUUUCUUCCCAAAUCAGAGUGGUCCCUCCUCUCUUUGUCGAUAAUUGCCUCUAAAUGAAAGUUCCCAGCUAAAAAUAGUUUUUCUUGCACUAGAGUUGUAUUCUGCUGCUGUUUUUAGUUCAGAUGCUUGUGUUGUUCGCCAAAAAAAUAAAGAGGUCCACCUGGUGGUUGGUGGGUAUAUGGUCUAAUUGCAGCUGAUAAGUGAUCAACACUGGAUCCUAGAUCUCUUGACCAACCCCACCAAGUGUGUCGGUCUCCUUUUGGUAUAUUUUCGCUGCUUAUCUUCUCUUCUUCCUGUUUUUGUGUCACCCUAGCUUAAUUUUAUUUGUUGGACGGGUGAUAGUCAAAAGGAUCAGACUUGGAAAAUUUUGAAGGUUGAUGCCCAGUGCCUGUUCCUGUUCAACUUGUGUCUCUGUCAUUUCAAAGCUGUCACUGCAAUCUGAUAAUGCAAGAUAGAGGGGUUUCUCAAUCCUGAUACUUUGCCAUUUUUGUGCUUGCACCAUAGUGUAAAUAUUAUCAGGCUUCGAGAGAGGGGUUUUUCAACCCUGUCUUGCAUUCUCUAGUGGGUUUCGUCAGCUUUGCAUGUAACUCUUCCCUUCAUUCCUUUGCUUCCAGCUAUUGGGUCUUACUCUUACAUAUGUUGAGGCCUUUCUAGUUCAGCCUUUUUUCAGUAUCAAUAGUUUUCAAUUUAGUUUUCUUACCUCCUGACUCUUCUGUGUUGGUCAAAACUAGUGUUUGUAAGGAAGUUUCUAUUACAGUAUUAUUUUUGAACAGUGUGGUGUAUUCCUACUGCCAUGAAGUCCUUAAUCUAGACCCAUAUGUCCUUUGAUGAUCCAAGUGAUGAGGUUAACUAUGGUGAUGGGGUCUUUUAUAUCUGUGGACAGCUGAAUAAGUACUCAGCCAAUUCUAGAUUGUUGUGAGUGACAUAAAAAUACUUCUUUGCUUUUGGUUUUCUAGCUACUGAUGUUCUGUGUUUCCGAUUUUGGUGAUACUGUUAUGGACAUUCAGAUUUGGAAGUUUCAAAACUUGGGUAUAACCAACAUGUAAUCCUCUGUCAUCUUUUUAUCUUUUGGUCUUUGGUGCUUGCACUGCAAUUUUAAUAUUGUCCGGGUUGUGACAUAAGGUUUUUUCUGGUCUUGUCUAUGGCAUAUUUAGUGAUUACAUGGGUGGUUUUAGGGUUCGUCAGAUUUGCACUUAACUGUUCCUUUUAAUUUAUGCAGUCAUUGAACCACAGGCAGUGGAUUAUUCUUUUCAUGAAGCGGCCUUAUCCGUUUGUGUUGAGGUUUCUUUAGCAGUCUCUUUUAUGAGUAUUGAGAUUUUCGAUUCAAUUUUCUUUCCUUGUGGAUCCUUGUUCUCUAUCAGAACUAUUGUUGAAGGGAAGUUUUUUGAUUAAGAUAAUAUUUUCUUGCAAGUGUGUGUUGUGUUCUGCUGCCAAGAAGCUUUUAAUCCAGAGAAACUUCAGUGAUCCAGCUGAUGAGGUCUCCCCUUAUUAUGGGUACAAUCACUUGAUAAGUACUCAGUCUGUGGAUCUAUCUCUCCAUGAAGCGCUGCUUCACUUCUGGUUUUCUAGCUACAUAUAUUAUUUGCUGCAAUUUUUUGUUGGAUGAAUGUGUAGACUAUAUGGUGAAAAUAUUAGAGGUUAGGGUUUGGAGAUUUCAAAGGUUGAUAUCCAGUAUAGUAUCUGGUUCGGGUUUUAUGAGUACUGUGAUUCUCAGUCCCUCUUCUCUUCAUCAAAAAUGACUGUUAUGUGGAAGUUCCCAGCUAAGUUAGUUUUUUUUGCACUAAGUCACCGGUUUCAAAAAAAAUAAUUUUUCUUAGUGUGUGUUGUAUUCUACUGUCGUUUUUAGUUUAUAGUUCAGCUGCAUGUGUUCUUUGAUGAUCCAUUUGAUGAGAUUCCUGGUUUGUUAAUGGGUGGGUAUAUGGUCUUAUUGACGCCUGAUUAGUCAUCAAAACUCAAUCCUGGAUCUCUUUACAGCCCCAUCAAGUGGGUCUGCUCUCCGUUUCAUGUUUGUUGUAUCACUCCAACUUGAUUUUGUUUGUUGGAUGGAUGUAAGUUGAGGAUUAGUAAAAUUGUGAAGGUUGAUGCCAAUGUCCAUGCUUGUGCAACCUGUUUAUAUGCCAUUUUUGUGCUGGUACUCGAUCUGAAUAUUGUAAGGCAAGAUAAGAGGGGUUUCUCAAUCUUUGUUCUUUGCAAUUUUUGUGAUUGCAUCGUAAUAUGGAUAUUAUCAGGCUACAAGAAGGGUUUUUCAAUCUGUUGCAUUCUCUAGUCGGUUCAAUCAACUUUGCAAGUAAUUCUUUCUAUCAUUCCUUUUCUUACUGUCAUUUGGUCUUACAGAGCAGUAGAUUCUUUUUUUUAAAUGGACUGACCUUGUUUGUCCAUGUGCGUUGAGGCCUUUUUAUUUCGGUCUCUUAUGAGUAUCAAUAACAAUAAUUUCAACUUAAUUUUCUUCCCUCAUGGCUCUUAUCUUUUUGAUAACUACUGUUGUAUGGAAUAUUCUCAAUUAGGAUGUUAUUUUUGACCAGUGUGUUGUAUUUCUGCAGCCAUGAAGCUCUUAGUCCGGAAGCAUAUGUUCUUUGAUGAUCCAAGUUAUGAGGUUUCCUAUGUAGAUGGGUCUUUUUUGGCUAUGGACACCUGAAGAAGUACUGGGCCAAUCCUAGAUCUUUUGAUAGUGAUCCAUCGUUUACAGGGCACUGAAUUAUUCUUUUCAUGGAGUGGCCGUGUCUAUCCGAUUGUGUUGAGGGUCUUAUAUGAGUAUUGACAUUUUCAAUUCAGUUCCCUUUCCUCGUGGCUGCCUUUUCUCUGGCAAAGCUAUUGUUGUAUGGAAGAUUUUUGGCAAGGAUAAUAUUUUUUUACAAGUGUGUAUCAUGUUCUGUUGCAAUGAGGUUUUUAAUCCAGACACUUCGUUCUUCAAUGAUUAAACUGAUGAAACUGAUGAGGUCUCUUAUGGUUGUAGUCACUUGAUAAGUACUCGGUUUGUGGAUCUUACCUCUCCAUAAGUUGCUCCUCUACUUCUGGUCUUCUGGCUACAUAUGUUCUUUGCUGGCAUUGUCUUUCGGUUAUCACAACUCAUUCUUUUUGUUGGAUGGAUGUGUAGACUAUAUGGUGACAAAAUUAGAGGCUAAGAUUUGGAGAUCGAUAAGGUUGAUAUCCAGUAUGAUAUCCAAUAUGGUAUAUCUGUACCCUCUUGAUCUUUUUCAGUUCUUGCACUGCAAUUUGGAUAUAUUUUCAUGGGCUUCAACGAAUAAGGGUUCUUAAUUGUUUAUGUGGCAUCUCUGGUGGUUUCUUUGGUGGUGUGGGUUUUCGUUAACUUGGAACUUCAUUAUACCCUCUUCUUUUUGUGAUUGUAGCCAUUGGAUCUCAAAGAGCGGUGGAUUGUUCUUUUCAUCGAAGUUCAGACUUUUAUGAGUACUGGGAUUAUAACUAAAAGAGUUUUUGUUUUCACUACUGUCACAUAUUUUACCAUCAUUUUUGAUUUUUAGUCGAGAUGCUUAGUUUCUUCAACUAUUGAACUAAUGAGUUUCCAGAUGGUUGAUAAUUAUGGUCUAUGGACACCUGACGAGUAUUUGCUGCUCAUUUUUCUGCUUCCUUUUUCUUGUAUUUUUCCAGCUUGAAAGUUGAGGGGAUUAGACCUGGAGGAUUUGAAGGUUGGUGUACAGUUUUGCAUCCUGGGCAGUCCUAUUUCUUGGCCAUGUUAGUGCGCACACUACAAUCUGGAUACUAUCAGAGGCUUCGAAAGAAGGCAUUUCUUGAUCUUGUUUGGCAUUUCUAGUGAAUUCUAGGUGGUACAGGCUUCACCAGCUUUGAACUUACCUGUUUCAUUUUUUUGGUGCUUGCAGCUGUUGGGUCCUACAGAGUCAUAGAUUCUUCAUUUCAUGUAGCGGCCUUGUUUGAAUUGUGUUGAGGUUUUCUGGUUGAUGCUUUAAAGAUUAUUCAGAUCUUCAUUUCAAAUUUCUUCCAUUAUCAGAUGGUUCCCUUCUCUCUUUGCACUGCUUCACUAGUGUGUAUUUUGUUGCUAUUUUUUAAGUAAUGCAGAUGCUUAUGUUUUUUGGUGAUCCAAUUGAUGAGAUCUCCAUGGUUAUGGGCACUUGAUGAGUGUAUUUGAAAUCAGGCCUGGAUCUUUUGAUAGCCUUGUAAGGCAUUCUACUUUCGUGUUCUCGCUGCUUCCCUUUUGUGCUUUUGUUUAGCUGACCAGUUGAUUUAGUGUUUGGUUGAAUGAAGGUUUGUAGGCCACAUCACCAUAUAUGAUAGUAAGAGGAUAAGUUUUGUAAAUUUUGUGGUUUGGUUUCAAUGUGCAUCCCUAUGGACCCUAUUUCUUUGCAUUCAGGUGCUUGCACCCCAAUCUGGAUGAUUGGGUAUCACCAGGGUUCAAGGUAUGAAUUUUUCUGUUGCAUUUUUUGGCAUCUCUAGUGAGUGAUCUCUCCGCGUGGUAUGAGUUUCCCAUGUUUUAUACUUGUUUCGUUCCUUUUGUGCAUGCAACCAUUGGGUCUUCCACAUAAUGAUCUCUUACUCAGUGGGUCCCUUUUCUCUUUGUCAAAACUAAUAUUGCGUGGAAGUUCUCUACAGUGGUAAUAUUCAAGCUAAUGUGUUGUAGUCUGCUUCUUGUUUGUUGCAUCACUCUUGCUUGAUUUUGAUUUUUUUGUUGGAUGGAUGGCGGUUGAGAGGAUUAGAUUUCGGAAGUUCCGAAGGUUGAUGCCCAUUGUUCAUUCCUCUGCACCCUGUUUCUUUGCGAUUUUUGUGUUUGCACUCAUUCUGAUAUUAUCAGGCUUCAACAGAUGAGGUCUCUUAUGGUUAUAGACACCUGAUAAGUACUCCGUCAAUUUUGGAUCUUUGACAGUGCCAUUAAGUGAUCCUGUACUUUUGGUCUUCUAGCUCUACAUGUGUGUUUUCCUGCCAUUCUCUUUUGGUUGUCACAACUACUUAUUUUUGUUGGAUGUAUGUGUAGAAAAUAUGGUGGAAGUAUUAGAGGUUAAAGAUUUGGAAAUUUCAAAGAUUGAUUUCCAGUAUGCCAUCUGUGUACCCUGUUAGUCUUUUUGGUUCUUGCACAAUUUGCACUAUAAUUUACCCUCUUAGUAUUUUUGGUUCUCGCACUGGCAAUCCGGAUACAUUGGUCAGGGCUUCAACAAAGAAGGGGUUUGUUAAAUAUCGUCUACAUGGCAUCUCUAGUAAUUUGUUAGGUGGAAUGGGUUUGUCAGUUUUGGACUUGAUUGUACCCUUCUUUUUGUGCUUGCAGCCAUUGGGUCUUAUGGAGCAAAUAUUCUUUUGAUGGAGCGGCUUUGUUUGUACAAUUUAUGUUCGAGAUUUCCAUGGUUCAGGCUUGUAUGGGCACUGGGAUUUUCAACUAAAUAAUUUUUUUAUGCUUAUUUUCUUCAAUUAUCCAAUUGAUAAGAUUUCUGAUGGUUAUGGUCUUGUGGAUACCGAACAAGUACUCAAUUUUGGAUCUUUUGAAAGUCUUGUAAAAUGGUCCUCUCUUUUGUUGUUCUCGCUGCUCAGAUUCUCUGCUUCCUUAUACUUGUAUUACACUAGCUUGAUUUUGUUUGUUGGAUGUAUGUAUGGUGAAGUUGAGGGGAUUAGUCGUGGAAGAUUUUGAUGGUUGGUGUACUGUGUUCUUUGUUGUUGCACUAUAAUCUGGAUAUUGUCAAGAGGCUUCGAAAACGGCGGUUCUCAAUCUUGUCUUGGUAUUUCUAGUAGAUUCUAUGUAGCAUGCUUCACCAACUUUGCACUUAACUGUUCCAUUCAACCUGUGCUUGCAGUCGCUGGGUCUUACAGAGCCGUAGAUUUUUCUUCUCAUGGAGUUCCUUGUCUGUCAAUAUGUUUAGGUUUUCUGGUUGAUGCUUUUAAUAUCAUUGGGAUCUUCAAUCCAGUUUUCUUCCGUAAUCAGAAUUGUUCUUGUUCCUUUCUCUAUUUGUCAGCACUGCUUAACUAUUAUGUAUUUUGUUGCCAUAUUCUUUCUUUUAAUUAAUCCAGAUGGUUAUGUUCAACUGAUCAGUUCUUGCUACUUGCCUUUUCUGUGUUUGUGUAGCCUACCAGUUGAUUAAAUUUGGUUGGAUGACUUGUUUGCCACAUGUUGAUAUGAUAGUGAAGAGGAUACGUUUUGGAAAUUUUGUAGUUUGCGUUCGGUGAGCAUCAUUGUGGACCCCGUUUCUUGCAAAUUUGGUGCAACCUGGAUAAUUGGAUGUCACCAUGCCCCAAGAAAAGGGCAGUUGAAAUGUUAUGUUGUUUGGCAUCUCUAAUGACCCUUCGUGGUAUGGGUUUCCCAUGUUCUGCACUUAUCGGUUUCGUUCUUCUUGUGCGUAACCGUUGGAUCUUCUUGAGAGUGAAUUUCUAUUCAGUUUUCUUCUUAAUCAGUGGGUGCCUUUUGUUUUUGUCAAAAUAACAAUGAUAAUAUCUUCCACUAGUGCGUGUGUUGUACUUUGCAGCUAUGAAGCUUUUAGUGUAGUUGCUUAUUUUCUUGGAUGAUCCAACUGAUGAGAUCCCUGAUUGUUAUGGUCACCUGAGAAAUACAUUAGAUUUUCAUAUGGAUUUGAGAGUGCUCCUAUAAUUUGGUGCAUUCUUGCUACUUAACUUCUCUGCUCCUGUUUUCUUAAGUUUAUCGUGCCACUUUGUAUUGUUUGUUUGGGUGGAUCUGUGUAGAGCACAUGGUGAAAGUGAGGGGAUCGGAUUUGGUGGUCUCAAAGUUUGGCUUCAGUGUGUAUCCUUGUGCACCCUGCUUUUUUGUCCAAAAAUACAAUUUACCUCAAGCGCAUGCAUAAUAUGUAAGAUUUACAUUUAGUGCAGGAUUUGGUGGUUUCGAAGGUUGGCUUCAGUGUAUAUCCUUGUGCACCCUGCUUUUUUGCUGUUUUGGUUCUUGCACGCAAUUUGGAUAUCAUCAGGCACCGAGGGAAGGAGUUUCACGAUCUUUCCUGGCAUCUCUAGUGAUCUCUUCUAAUGUGGCGUGGGUUUCAUGGCUUUGCAUUCUUGACUGUUUCUUUUUUUUCUUGUGCCUACUGUUGUUGGGUUCGAAGAUAAGUGACAGUGAGGGGAUCGGAUUUGGUGGUCUCGAAGUUUGGCUUCAGUCUGUAUCCUUGUGUACCCUGCUUUUUUGUCCAAGAAUACAAUUUAGCUCAAGCGCAUGCAUAAUAUAUAAGAUUCACAUUUAGUGCAGGAAUUGUUGGUUACGAAGUUUGGCUUCAGUGUGUAUCCCGCUGCUUUUUUUGCUGUUUUGGUGCUUGCACGCAAUUUGGAUAUCAUUAGGCACCGAGGGAAGGGAGUUUCGCACUUUCCUGGCAUUUCUAGUGAUCUCUUCUAAUGUGGCGUGGGUUUUAUGGCUUUGCAUUCUUGACUGUUCCUUUUUUUAUUAUUGUGCCUACUGUUGUUGGGUUCGAAGAUUAGUGAAGUCUUACAUUCAUGGAGCAACCUCGUUUUAUCAAUUAACGUUGAAGUUUCCUUAGUCCAGGCUUUAUUAGUAUCUAUCUUUUCGAUUCAGUUUUCUUCCUUGUUCAUAGAGAUUCCUUAUCUUGUUGUCAGAAGUGCUGUUAUGCAGAAGUCCUCAACUACGACAAUUCUUUCCAAAAGUUCGUUUUCAGCGUUUAUUCCAGAUGUUUAUGUUUGCUGUGAUCAAACUUAUGAGGGCUCUCAUGGGUGUGGACAUUUUGGUAAGUACUUGGUAAUUUUUGGAUCUUUUCAUAGCCCUGUUAAGUGCUCAUCUACCUUCCAUGUCUUGCUUCCUAUCUCCAUUCUUCUGUUUCGUCUGUUGGAAGGAUGUAUAUACCACAUAGCGAACAAUAUUGGAGGAUAGUAGGAUCUAUAUACAAUAUAGUGAACAGUAUGGGGAGGGGGACUAGAUCAACUGGUCAUUAAGGUGCUUGCACGAUAAUCUGGAUAUUGGUGGUGCUUUGAGAAGAAGGGGGUUUCUUAAUGUUUUCUACGUCAGUUCUAGUGAUUUCCCAAGUGGUUUGGGUUUUGCCAAUUUUGCACACUGUUCCUUCUUUCUGUGUUUGCAGUUGUGUUCUUAAAGAAGUAAAAUUCUUCUUUCCAUGGGGCUUCUUUUGUUUGUUGAUUCAUGUUGAGGUUUCAUUUGGUUCAAGCUCUUGCGAGUGCCGAAUUUUCAGUUCAGUUCUCUUCUCUUGGUCAGUAUGAUAUUUUUUUUACCGUACACUCUUUGAAGUGGUGCUCUUCUUGUUGUGAGUUUAACUGAGAAUUUAGCACGACAGUGGUGGUUACCGUACAUGGUCAUAUCAUCCAAUUUCUGAUUUUUUUAUUGGGUUAUCUGCAGACAUAAUCACUAUUUUCAGACUUAUUGUAGUUGGGUAAUGAAGCCUCUUUUUUGAAAGUUACCUAUUUCAAAAAAUAAUAUAAAAUUGAAGCUUCUGUAUUAUUCUUCAUGGUUCCUCCCCUAUUUUUUUAACAUGCCUGUUAUGUUUCAGAGAUUCAGUCAUUUGAGGAGUUGCUUCAGACUGUUAACUGUAAUUUAAAACUUUAAUGUAGAAAGAGAGAUUGCACACUUCCUCUCUCCUUAAAACAUUGCCAUUUGAACAUUCUUUGCAUCAAAGAGCUAGCGGCAAUUCGUUGGAUCUAGAAGAGAUCAAGUAAAUAACUUUGUUCAUCUUUUGCAAGUUGGGAAUUUUUUCAACAACUCUUGUUCUUCUAGAUACUCUCCCGAGUUAAGGUUUGCACUAAUUUUCUUAAUAUGGUUGAAAUCACCAUUGGCCAUAUAGGUAACCUUUGUUCUGUCAUCAAAAUCCAUCACAUAUCAGAUCAUCGUGCAAGUUGGGAAUUUUUUCAACAGAUCUUGUUCAUCUAAGUACUGUUCCGAAUUAAGGUGUGCACUAUUUUCUUAAUAUGGUUGAAAUCACCAUUGACUAUAAGUAGCCUUUGUUCUUUCAUUUUUUGGUUGUUGCUAUAUAAUUGGUGUAUGUUGAGUCAAAUGUCACUUCACAGAUGGUAUGUUUUGUUAAAUGUCACUGACCAGAUAGAGUUUAAAAAAAAAGUUUAAAAAAAAA